AUACGUAGGGGGCGAGCGUUGUCCGGAAUGAUUGGGCGUAAAGGGCGCGUAGGCAGCCCGGUAAGUCUGGAGUGAAAGUCCUGUUUUUAAGAUGGGAAUUGCUUUGGAUACUGUCGGGCUUGAGUGCAGGAGAGGUAAGUGGAAUUCCCAGUGGAGCGGUGAAAUGCGUAGAGAUUGGGAGGAGCACCAGUGGCGAAGGCGACUUACUGGACUGUAACUGACGCUGAGGCGCGAAAGUGUGGGGAGCAAACAGGAUUAGAUACCCUGGUAGUCCACACUGUAAACGACGAAUGCUAGGUGUAGGGGGUAUCGACCCCUUCUGUGCCGCAGUCAACACAAUAAGCAUUCCGCCUGGGGAGUACGGCCGCAAGGUUGAAACUCAAAUGAAUUGACGGGG
rnacentral:rRNA from 1 species